AUUCCAUGGUGAGGACAAUCUGAUGUGUAUCCUUGAAAACGCUCCCAUGCUUCUGAAAUGGCUUCUGUCUUUUGUUGUUGAAAACUGACAGUAUUUCCUCUUAAGGCA
rfam:Sorghum bicolor cultivar BTx623 chromosome 3, whole genome shotgun sequence.